rnacentral:rRNA from 1 species
CCCUUAGAUGUUCUGGGCCGCACACGCGCUACACUGGCAGGUUCAUCGAGCUUCAUGCCCUGAUCUGAGAAGAACGGGAAAUCUUUGAACACCUGCCGUGCUUGGGAUAGAUGUUUGCAAUUAUUCAUCUUCAACGAGGAUUGCCUUGUAAGUGCACGUCAUCAGCGUGCAUUGAAUACGACCCUGUAUUCUGUACACACCGCCCGUCGCUCCUACCGAUUGAAGUUUUCGGUGAAUUUACUGGAGAUCCCUUUUGAAGGUGGUUCGCCACUGGAAGAAGUAUUCAAAAGUAAAUGAAUCGAAUGCUUUAGAGGAAGGAGAAGUCGUAACA